CAGUGGAGGAAGGAUCCCCCCAGAUAAUUGUCUAUAGGUCUGGUAGUUAACAAGCGGCUUGCCGGGCAACCGGUCGGGCUGAAGCCUCGUGACAAAGGCCGCCAUGGGCGGUCGAGCUAUGCCACCUGGAGGCCCUUGGGUAUUGGAA
rfam:Ochrobactrum anthropi ATCC 49188 chromosome 1, complete sequence.